AUUGAACGCUGGCGGCAGGCCUAACACAUGCAAGUCGAACGAGUGGCGGACGGGUGAGUAAUGUCUGGGAAACUGCCUGAUGGAGGGGGAUAACUACUGGAAACGGUAGCUAAUACCGCAUACCAUCGGAUGUGCCCAGAUGGGAUUAGCUAGUAGUGGGGGUAAAGGCUCACCUAGGCGACGAUCCCUAGCUGGUCUGAGAGGAUGACCGGCCAAACUGGAACUAAGACACGGGCCAGACUCCUACGGGAGGCAGCAGAGGGGAAUCUGCGGCAAUGGGGGGAACCCGGACCGAGCAACGCCGCGUGAUUGAAGAAGGCCUUCGGGUUGUAAAGUACUUUCAGCGGGGAGGCGUUACCCGCAGAAGAAGCACCGGCUAACUCCGUGCCAGCAGCGCGGUAAUUC
rnacentral:rRNA from 1 species